rnacentral:rRNA from 1 species
AAGUCGAGCGGACAGAAGGGAGCUUGCUCCCGGAUGUUAGCGGCGGACGGGUGAGUAACACGUGGGUAACCUGCCUGUAAGACUGGGAUAACUCCGGGAAACCGGAGCUAAUACCGGAUAGUUCCUUGAACCGCAGGGUUCAAGGAUGAAAGACGGUUUCGGCUGUCACUUACAGAUGGACCCGCGGCGCAUUAGCUAGUUGGUGGGGUAAUGGCUCACCAAGGCGACGAUGCGUAGCCGACCUGAGAGGGUGAUCGGCCACACUGGGACUGAGACACGGCCCAGACUCCUACGGGAGGCAGCAGUAGGGAAUCUUCCGCAAUGGACGAAAGUCUGACGGAGCAACGCCGCGUGAGUGAUGAAGGUUUUCGGAUCGUAAAGCUCUGUUGUUAGGGAAGAACAAGUGCGAGAGUAACUGCUCGCACCUUGACGGUACCUAACCAGAAAGCCACGGCUAACUACGUGCCAGCAGCCGCGGUAAUACGUAGGUGGCAAGCGUUGUCCGGAAUUAUUGGGCGUAAAGGGCUCGCAGGCGGUUUCUUAAGUCUGAUGUGAAAGCCCCCGGCUCAACCGGGGAGGGUCAUUGGAAACUGGGAAACUUGAGUGCAGAAGAGGAGAGUGGAAUUCCACGUGUAGCGGUGAAAUGCGUAGAGAUGUGGAGGAACACCAGUGGCGAAGGCGACUCUCUGGUCUGUAACUGACGCUGAGGAGCGAAAGCGUGGGGAGCGAACAGGAUUAGAUACCCUGGUAGUCCACGCCGUAAACGAUGAGUGCUAAGUGUUAGGGGUUUCCGCCCCUUAGUGCUGCAGCUAACGCAUUAAGCACCUCCGCCUGGGGAGUACGGUCGCAGA